rnacentral:rRNA from 1 species
CCUACGGGAGGCAGCAGUGAGGAAUAUUGGUCAAUGGGCGCGAGCCUGAACCAGCCAAGUAGCGUGAAGGAUGACUGCCCUAUGGGUUGUAAACUUCUUUUAUAAAGGAAUAAAGUGAGGCACGUGUGCCUUUUUGCAUGUACUUUAUGAAUAAGGAUCGGCUAACUCCGUGCCAGCAGCCGCGGUAAUACGGAGGAUCCGAGCGUUAUCCGGAUUUAUUGGGUUUAAAGGGAGCGUAGAUGGGUUGUUAAGUCAGUUGUGAAAGUUUGCGGCUCAACCGUAAUAUUGCAAUUGAUACUGGCAGCCUUGAGUACAGUUGAGGUAGGCGGAAUGCGUGGUGUAGCGGUGAAAUGCUUAGAUAUCACGAAGAACCCCGAUUGCGAAGGCAGCUUACUAAACUGUGACUGACAUUGAUGCUCGAAAGUGUGGGUAUCAAACAGGAUUAGAUACCCCAGUAGUC